UAAAUUGCCCAAUCCCGACUCGGGGAGGUAGUGACGAAAAAUAACAAUUCAAGACUCUUAACGAGGCCUUGAAGUUGGAAUGAGUACACUUUAAAACUUUUAACGAGUAACUAUUGGAGGGCAAGUCUGGUGCCAGCAGCCGCGGUAAUUCCAGCUCCAAUAGCGUAUACUAAAGUUGUUGCGGUUAAAAAGCUCGUAGUUGGAUCUUGGAAUGUGUUCAAGCGGGUCAGCUUCUGGCUGUGCGCUGCUUGACGUGUUCUUCUAUUUGGUUUUGGUGCGGUGCGCUUAACUGCGUGUCGCUCCCGGCCGAAACGUUUACCUUGAAAAAAUUAGAGUGUUCAAAGCAGACCUGUUUGAGUCUGAAUAUUCGUGCAUGGAAUAAUGAAAUAUGAAUUCGGUUCUAUUUUGUUGGUUUUCGGAACUCGAGUUAAUGAUCAAGAGGGACAGACGGGGGCAUUCGUACUCUGCCGUUAGAGGUGAAAUUCUUGGAUCGGCGGAAGACGCGCAACUGCGAAAGCAUUUGCCAAGAAUGUUUUCUUUAAUCAAGAACGAUAGUCGGAGGUUCGAAGACGAUCAGAUACCGUCCUAGUUUCGACUGUAAACUAUGCCGGCUAACGAUCAGACAGAGUUCUCUACGACUAGUCUGGCAGUUUCCGGGAAACCAAAGCGUUUGGGUUCCGGGGGAAGUAUGGUUGCAAAGCUGAAACUUAAAGGAAUUGACGGAAGGGCACCACCAGGAGUGGAGCCUGCGGCUUAAUUUGACUCAACACG
rnacentral:rRNA from 1 species